CCUACGGGAGGCAGCAGUGAGGAAUAUUGGUCAAUGGACGAGAGUCUGAACCAGCCAAGUAGCGUGAAGGAUGACUGCCCUAUGGGUUGUAAACCUCUUUUAUAUGGGAAUAAAAUGUUCCACGUGUGGGAUGUUGUAUGUACCAUAUGAAUAAGGAUCGGCUAACUCCGUGCCAGCAGCCGCGGUAAUACGGAGGAUCCGAGCGUUAUCCGGAUUUAUUGGGUUUAAAGGGAGCGUAGGUGGAUUGUUAAGUCAGUUGUGAAAGUUUGCGGCUCAACCGUAAAAUUGCAGUUGAAACUGGCAGUCUUGAGUACAGUAGAGGUGGGCGGAAGUCGUGGUGUAGCGGUGAAAUGCUUAGAUAUCACGAAGAACUCCGAUUGCGAAGGCAGCUCACUGGACUGCAACUGACACUGAGGCUCGAAAGUGUGGGUAUCAAACAGGAUUAGAUACCCUGGUAGUC
rnacentral:rRNA from 1 species